CAACCUCAACUCAUAUGGGACUACCCCCUGAAUUUAAGCAUAUUAAUUAGGGGAGGAAAAGAAACUAACAAGGAUUUUCUUAGUAGCGGCGAGCGAAAAGAAAUCAGUUCAGCACUAAGUCACUUUGUCUAUAUGGCAAAUGUGAGAUGCAGUGUACGGAACAUCAACAUUCUAGUAUGAGAAGUUAACGAUUUAAGUCCUUCUUAAAUGAGGCCAUUUACCCAUAGAGGGUGCCAGGCCCGUAUAACGUUAAUGAUUACUAGAUGGUGUUUCCAAAGAGUCGUGUUGCUUGAUAGUGCAGCACUAAGUGGGUGGUAAACUCCAUCUAAAACUAAAUAUAACCAUGAGACCGAUAGUAAACAAGUACCGUGAGGGAAAGUUGAAAAGAACUCUGAAUAGAGAGUUAAAUAGUACGUGAAACUGCUUAGAGGUUAAGCCCGAUGAACCUGAAUAUCCGUUAUGGAAAAUUCAUCAUUAGAAUUGUAAUAUUUUAAACAAUAUUAUAAUAAUAGUGUGCAUUUUUUCCAUAUAAGGACAUUGUAAUCUAUUAGCAUAAAUAUUUAUCAUAAAAUUAUGUCUGAUUGCUUAUUUGAAUUAUAUGCUUGGCAUUUUAACAUAAAAUAAAAGAUAUAAAUUUGAUAAAGUGCUGAUAGAUUUAUAUGAUUACAGUGCGUUAAUUUUUCGGAAUUAUAUAAUGGCAUAAUUAUCAUUGAUAUUUG
rnacentral:ncRNA from 1 species